rnacentral:hammerhead_ribozyme from 1 species
AUCCUGCUGACGAGUCCCAAGUAGGACGAAACGCACGUCAUGGAU